UUGAAUGAGAAAGAAGGAAUGAAAGAAGGACCAUGAGUCCUUCAGGUUUCCCUGUAGCCCGUGAAAAAAUAUAACAAGCUAAUGAAAUGUUGAGCUAGUUGUUCUGAAAGGCAUAAACAGGAUGUAUUCAGUUGCUUCUUUUCUCUUUCCCUUUUGUUUUAGCCACCAUUUUUUCAUUCUCUCUUAUCUGCAUUGCCAUGGAUGUGUCUGUUCCUUUGUUUCUAACCAUUGGUAGGUACUCCAUGACAUGCAGCCAACAAUUUUAUGCCUCUACUCACCAGGAAUACACACGCAUGCUGCCUAGGAGGAGUUUCUGAGGGAGAAAAGGCAUUAGCAAGAAGUAGCCCAGAGAAGUGUUGGCAUUAGCAACACCUUUAUUUAUUUUAAAGUUAGAACAUGCAACUACAUAUGUGUGAGGUGGUAAGGACUGGAAAUGUUCUUUACUCAAUAAUCAUCUGUGCCAGGCACAGUGCCAGAUACUGUGGGAGGUUCAAAGAUGGGUGAGACAUAGUCCCUGACCUCAAGGAACGUAUGGUUUAAAGACAAAACGGAUCAGCAGUUCUCUAAUUGGGAUACAAAAUUAAGAACAACAAGAGGUUAUUGAGGGCCAUCCCAAUAAUUCUGACCAGGGGAUCAGGGAAGUGUUCAUGCAAGGUUGAGCCUGAGAAGGAUCUUGAAGGAAUAGGACAUGCAAGGGUGGAUGGGAGGCGCUGGGGUGGAAGUGCAAUACAUUUUAGCCUGGAAGAACUAAAUAAGCAAAGGCAUCGAAUAGAGGAGGGGUUGCAUAGGUUGAAGGAGCAAGAAGGAAGUCAGUACGGCUGUAGCACGUGCGUGGGAAACAUAGAGGGCUGUGGUUGGGGAGAAGGCUGGCAAGAUGAGAUGGGACCAGAUCCUGGUGAAUCUUCGGUGUCACGCAGGGAGUCAGAGUCACUCAGCAAUGAUUCAGCAAUGGGAAGGAAAUGAAGGUUCUUAAAGGAGGGAAACGACAUUUUCACACCCAUGUGGAAAUGGGAGAAUUAAUACCAGAGACACUGAGACCAAAAUGUGUGUCUCUGGUUGAAGAAAUUAUGACUAUUUUACAUUUUUCCCCUUUGAGUCACCUGCAGUUUCUAAUUUUCCCAUAGUGAAUGUGGACAUGUGGUGAAAAUUUAAAAAUAGAAUACAUAAAAUAGUGUUUAAAGGGUAAGAUACACAUGGGGGAAAAGGAGGAGGCCAAUGAGAGUGGAGUGUCUGCCAUUGGUAAGGAGGAACCUGGCUCUGGAGGCCACAGGCUGGAGGCCAGCCAGGAGGAAGCUGGCAAAAAGGGGAAGGAGAGGAUUUCAUUCAUAUAGUCUCCCAAUAUCUGCUGAGUGUUUGCCUUGGGCUGGGCACUGUUCUAGGAACUUACAAUCAUGUAUUUGUGAAAUGGCUGAGAAAUGGAGAAACAGCUGCGUGCAGUAAAAGGAUGGACAGGGAAGGCCUUUUUUUUUUUUUUAGGCUAUAAGAGAUUUGAGUGUGUUUGUAAGCUCAGGGGAAGGAGCAUGUGGAGAAUGAAACACAAAAUGUCAAAACCAAUGGAAAAGAUAAAAGAUGAGGUCCAAGAGCCAAUCAGAAGGAAUAAGGUCAGGUUUGCAAAUGCAGUGUGUAUGUGUGUGUGUGUAUGUAUCUGUGUCCCAGAAAAUAUCUAAAUUAGAGAAUAUAUGAACAUCUGUAUAAAUGUGUACACAUGAGCACAUUUUGGAUUUGAAUUUAUAGUGACUCCUGAAGAUAAAGAUUUGGGCAGAAUUGGAGGCAUUUUUCUCUGCCAUCUACAAAAGUGUCCAAGGGCUAUUCAGAAAUAGGAAACAAUAUACCACAACCCCAAUAAACAAAGCAAGUGAGGAAAUGCAGUUUUCCCCAUGUUAUGUUCCAAAGAGCAGAAAAUAUUACAAGAGGAUGGGAGAAGAAUGGUUACACAGGAAAACACGCUGCACAAAGGGUGCAGUGCAACAGGUGGAAGGUGUGCGUGAUACCAACAUGACUGCCAGGCCGGCUGAGAGUAUACAAGCCUCUGGGAGACCUGGCUGCCACAUGGCUGGACCAUCAUGUCUCUGGACAGGGAUUGAUGGAUGUGCCUCCCAUGUGCUUUGAUGUUCCUUAUCCCCUUCAAAGUUGCCUGUUUUGAAGAAUUUGUGUUUGGCCAGAGUUAAAUGACCCACUUUGCUUGGGAUUUCUCUCCCUGCCUCAGUGAGAGCGCAAUCCAACUUGUUUCAGGUGACACCCUGAGGAGACAAGCAGAGGACUUUGAGGACUAUGAAAGCCAUUUUUUAUAGUCACUUGCUGAAGCUCAGCUGACCCUCCCAGGAAAUGGAAAGAUUGAGGCAGGCCCAGGCACUGCAGUCUGUGGCAACCGGGUCAGGAAGGCGCGCUGAAGUUAAUUAUCCAGCCUGGCAUCCCCACAAGCUUGCUUGUUUGGUGUUGCUUCUUUCUUAAUCAAGAAGAGACUCCCAUGGUGGUGUCUUAAUGUAAACAAAGCAAUUUGUGACUUGAUUAACAAAUCAAGGAUGGACAAACAUGUCCUUUUCUCCCUUCUCCUCUUUACUAGGGACUUGGACUAUUUUAAGGAGUGUCUCUCGAUGUGAAAGGCAGUGGCUGCCUGAGGUUUGUCUGGUUUGGUGUCUUCCUGUGUUUCUCCCUUCUUACCACAUCCACAGCAAGGGAUUCAUUCUAGGCAUUCCAUAGAGACUGAACCCAUUCCUUCUGUGUCCUGGGAAAUGUAAAAGUUGGAAAUGCAACCCCCAUUAAAAGCAAUUCAACAUGUGAUUUGUCCAGGUGAUGAGGUAUGUAGCUAAUAUUAGUCGCCGUGAUUUAUCGAGAGAAUAACUACCUGGUGAUAGAUUUUUCAUGAAUGUAUCUCAAGUCAUCUAUCACUGUGACAAUGAACUUUUCAUAUCUGGGCAGGCCUGUGAUGGUUACAGAAACCAAUAACUCCUUUAAUAGAACUGCAUGUCCAUUAAAUUACUGGAGGGAAAGAAAGAAAACAGGAAGGUCUUACAGCUAAAAAGGGCACAACAUAGGGGAAAAAAUAACAAAAAAAGAUUCUAUGACGAGACAUUGUGAAAAAUCAACACAAGGUUUUUGUUUUGUUUUGUUUUGUUUUUUGUCCUUAGAAAUUAAUUCUACAAUGUCUUCUUUUUCUCACAAACACCAUCACCCCACGUUGAAAUGAAGCUGCUGUCUCCUCUGAAUGCACACAUGGACAAAGAAGGGCCCUGAGAAAUCCCUAGUACACAUACAUCCUGAACCCUCAGGCCUCACUGGUGUGAUGUGUUCCCUUAACUAAACUGGUACAGUGCAAAUAAUGACUUGUACUAGUUUUCUAUUUGCAGUUUUAACAAAUUUCCACAAAUUUGAUGGCUUAAAUAAUAGGAUUUUAUUAUCUUGCCAUUAGUUCUGAAGGUCAGAAGUCUGACAUUGGUUACUGGGCUAAAAUCACUGGGGCGCAUUUCUUUCUGAAGACACUAGGGAGGAAUCAGUUUUCUUUUUUUUUUUUUUUCUAGUUUCUAGAGGCUGCCCAAAUUCCUUGGUUUCUGGCCUCUUCCUCUAUCUUCAAAGCCAGCAAGGGUGGGUUGAAUCUUCCCAUCACAUGACUCUGACCUCUUCUUUUUUCCUCUUCCACUUUUAAAGACCUUUGUUAUUACAUUGGCCUCUAGGGAUAAUCCAGGAUAAACUCCCUAUUUUAAAGGCAGCCGAUUUAGCAGUCUAAUUCCACCUGCAACCUUAAUUCUCUUUUUACCACAUUAACUAACACAUUUACGGGUUCCAGGGAUUGAGUCACAGACAUUUUUGCAAGGACGUUUUUCUGCUUACCACAGGACUUAAAUUUAUUUGUUGUGUUUUUUCUUUGUGUUUCUUUGCCUCAAAAUAGUAAUAGAACAAGCAAAGCGAAGUGAUCUCUUAAGGCAGGUUCCCCAAACAGGUUAGCAUUCAAAGGUCAGCUCUCGCUCUUGCUCCUUGCUGGUCUUAGGCAAGUUACUAACCUCUCUCCAAACCUCAGCUCAUCAUCUGUAAAAUGGGGAUAAUACAAUCCUCUUACAGAAAUUGUGAAGGAGAUGGGAUGAUGUUUGUAAAGCUUCACCGUAACACCUAGCAUGUAGUAAGUGCUCAAUGAAAGUUAAAGUUUUUAAAAAGUUAGAGUAAAUGUGGUGGGGUGGGAGUGAUGAGAGAGAAGAGACAGUGCAAUCUAGAUCUCUGUACCCUGAAUCCCCCUAGAUGGUUCAGCCUUCCUUGUCGCUCUCCAUGGGUUGGAUCCUGCUCACAGAAGCCUCUCAGACUCUCUGGGUGGGUGGGAGAGGAAAAGAAAAGUUCAGCUGUCAUCUUUGCCGCCCUUGUUCUGUGGUUGCUGUUUUCUUUUCCUUUGCUGCCUCCUUCCAUCGCUGGCCCUCCACUGCAGACAGGCCGGGGGAUCGCAGCCUCGGUGCAGAGCUGGCUCAGGCUGAGUGUCCCGAAUGGAAACUGCAGGAGCAGUGGGGAGACAUGCAGCUGAGCCCCACCUCUGCCAGUUCACAAUCACUCACUGAGCCAGCCCAGCACGGUCCAAGCCCUAAACUCCCCGAGGCAUUUUGAUUAGAUUAGCCAGUGAGAGCCAGGGUCUUCCAGGACUAGUUAUGCCUGACUUUGCACAAAAGUCACUCCCUGCGAAGCCCUUGCCACUGCUCCUGGGGAGGGGAACCCAAAGUCCAGCUGACCCUUCCCCACCAGUGCAGGAGGACACUCUGGUGGUGAUCAGGGCCUGGGAGGGACCCAAGGAAUCUAAUGCAGAUGGUGGGAAAGCCUGACCUUCCAGAGCAGCAAGGUUACUUACUGGGUUGACAAAAAAGGCAAAAAGUGUUAGCAUACAGUGUUGAUAAGGAUGCAGGGAAUCUCUACAUCCUUUGGGAAAGUAAACAAACAUCUUCUCAAAUGAAAAGCACACAUACAUACCUUUCUGCCCAGCAAUCCAACUUUGAUCAAGCCUAUUGUAUUGAAGAAAUUAAAAUACUAGUACAUAACGUUGUUUGAACAGGAAUAUUUAUGAACACAAUACUUAUACAGUACAAAAAACCUUGAAAAACUUAAAUAUUCAUCAAUAGAAGGAAUUAUGUCACCAUUUAAAAGGAGAUAUUUAACUAUUGCUCUUGAGGAAUUUGGUUGCAGAGAAAUACAUAUUACAAUUUUGCAGAAAUGAAACAAAGCGAAACCCAAAGCCAACCUCCAUAUAUGUAUGUGUGUAUAUGUGUGUAACAGCACGGGGAAAGGCAUGGAAGAACACACGUCAACCUGCUACCAUUUAUUAGUGGAGGGAGGAUGUUUUCUUCCCUCUCUGUACUCUUGAAUUGCUUCAUUGUUUACAAUAACUUCAUUACAUUUUUCAAUGUUGGGAGAGGAAUUUAAGAUAAAUGGUGGGAGUGAGCGGGGGCAGGGAAGAGAAGUUGUCAAGGAAGAUACAGGAGAAAUCCCAUGCUGGGAGAACCUGGCCACUCUAGUUGGGGGUUUGCAGAAAGCAAAAGCCAGGGGUCUGGCCUGGGCACUGAGGGGGAUGGGGUGGAGUAGAGUCUGGGGGUGCACACAUUGUUGAGCGACCUGGCUAUUUGAACUCAAGGAGCUUAUCUAGAACAUCCUUUGAGAAGGCCAGAGAGGAUGAUGGAUCACUGGGUAGUAGCCUGCAGUAAGAGGAAUUUAAAACGCUUUACCAUAAAGAAUAACUGCUCCCAAAAUAUUAAAAGAAUGAGGUUCUCAAGGUUAUUUUGAAGAAUUCGGUGAGAUCCACCUGAGGAAAUUAAAUUAGUACUACCUAGCACGAGGUAACUGGCAUGUUGUCCGAAAGAGCUUUACCUAUACUGUCUCAUUUGAUACAAGGUACAAUCCUAUGAGGUAAGUAUUAUUAUCGUUAUUUUACAGAGGAGGAAACUGAGGUAUAGCGGGGUUCAGUAUCCCGCCCAUGGUCAUGCAGGUGGGAACAGGAGUGUUCCGGCUCCGAAGUCCUGGCUCUUGGAAGCCACACUAAAGGCUGCGUCCUUCCAGGGCGCAACUCUGGGCGCAAAUGUUACACUCUCCUCCCCUCACCCGGUGGGGGUGGAGUGGGGAGAAAGGGCCUUCUCCGUGCGCCUGCCGGGAUGGCCGGAGUUCGGUGGGGCCAAGCUGAGGUUCCUCUCCUGGGGCUGGGCAGGGUUUGGGCUAACUCUUCUCCCGCCGGCAUUCGGGUUUGGGGGCCGAGGCUGCCCAAGAGUUAACCUCCAAAAGGGCCCUGCAGGGGGUGCUUUCUCUACACUGUUCUUCUCUUGGGUAGUGGAGGGGUUGGUGGGGGAACCACAAGCUACAAGAUUACAAAGUUGCUAGACUCCUUAGCCUAGGGAGGUACGAUGAUUUGGGACCGGGUGUGGAGGUGUGGGCGGGGUGGGGGGUGCGGUGUCUUCCGGAGCCCUAAGCUGGCGUCCUCAGCCGCUCCUUUCCGUUCCUACCCCCCACCCCCAGCUCACCACUUCGUUUUCACGUCUGGGAGGGGAGCGGGGGGCGGUGAUGGGGAGGAGACCAACGCUUUGAUUUCCCCUGGUAGGUGUUCUGAGUGGCUAGGGAUCCUUCCCUCGCGUGCCCCUGGGUCGGGGCGGUAGACAGCUCCAGAGGAUGGACGGCCAGCGUGAAAGCUAGAGCUCGUGUAUUGUAGGGAAAAGUGGGGGUGGCGGGGAGAUAAUGGUUGAAUACCUUCCUGAUAUUUGAGGGAGAAUUCGGCAAGGGGGAAAUCUCUGGCUCCAUCUUUGGCUGACUCAUCGGAUUUCCUGGGGUGGGCUCCGGGAGAAGGCUCGGGGCUGGCGCUCCUGCCUCGGUCCGUCCAGCACCAAGACGCCAGGUUCCCGGCGGCCCUGGCCCUCUGGGGGUACUGAUUACAGUGGAAAGAUCUCUGCGUCCGCAGAAGGAGAAUUUGUGUCAAGGUUCUUGUGCGCCUUUUCUUCUCUGGGGGUUCUGAAUGAAAAUAAGUCCCAAGGUCAUCUUUGUCCCUUAGCUCUUGCCCAGAGCUCUAUCUGCGUCUCCAAGCUUCUCCAUCAUCUCCUUUUGUGUUUCAGGUGAUCGCCCACCUUUCUUCCCUUCUAACCCUACUUCCGGAUCUUUUUCCCCCUCGUUUCUCCCCGUGUCCCCCAUUUUCCACGCUCGAGUCCUUUUUCUCGUGCCAGUUUCCUCCCUCCGUCCGAUUUCCUUUCCCACGGGCCCUGGAGUUCCUCGGGCCCAGGCAGGGCUCUGGAACUGGCCUGACAUGUUCAUAAUAAGGAUUGUCAGACACGGUACUCAAGUGAACUACCUUGUCUUGAACUUACUAGGACAGAGGAUGUGAUAAAGGAGGUCCUUCUCUAAUCCCAACAGCUCCUCAAAGGCUCGAAGCCAGCCUGAGUGGGCCACUUGAAGAGCCACGGGCUGUGGGAAGAUACGGAGAGGCUACUCCGACGUGGGGAGGAGGUAGGUAUGACGAUGUCCUCUGUGCCUGAAGCCCACUCCGUCCCACUCCCAAUACUCCCACCAUCUCAUCAGUGGGGCAUGCUCGCCCUGGUUAAUGUCAUCUCCCUGAACUGCCAACGAGGCUAGCAGCUUUGCUGCUUAAAACCGGUAACAUCAACCAACAUAUGGAGAUGUCAUCAUGAUUAAACGGCAAAUUAUAGCCGAAGACGGCGCGAUAAUAAUCUAAACAAUCACCACAAGAAGAAACGUUCUCUAACGCUCCAGUUGCGGAAGCCUGCGUUUCCAAGACUCGCGGCCCUGCGUUCCCAGGGAUAUCUCCGUGCUCACGUGAGCGUGGUCCUCGGCUUGGGACAGACAAGGGAGCCCCAGACAGGACGAUAAGGAAGCACGGUUUCGGGGAAGUGGCCAAGUGGCUUAAGUGAGGAGGGUCUGCUUGAAGGUGGCAGGUCUGCUUGAAGCGGCUUCCUGAAGAGGUGAGCUUAUCACCGGCAUCCUGUGUCCCUUCAGGUUCCCUGAGAACUGGGUCAAGAAAGCAGGUUGGGGUAGGAAACAAACGACACCCCCAUUUCAAACAAUAACUUUUAUUUUAUACUUCUCUAUACUUUGUAGCAAAUCUUUUUUUGCUGAAUUUAAUUUAUAAUAAACUUUUUAAAUUACAUCUCUCUCUCUUUUUUUUUUAAAAUCAAGGCUCUUUUAUGUCAAAAUCUUUUUUUAGCUAUAUUUUAGAUUAACAUUUAACAUCCCCCCCUUGUGAUCUAUACCGUUGGAUAUUCAGGUAUUACUGUGUGUGUAACAGCUAAAACAAGAGGGAGGAGGGAAAAUAAAGGCAGUGAACUUGGACGGAUGCAUCAACAACAGCAGAUAAAGCUAACCCCUCAGUGACCAUAGCAGCAUGUCUUCUGGAAGCCUUUACUCUUACCCCAGAGAUUUCCUCAGCCCCUUCCCUCUCUCCCUCCUAUCCUCCAAACACAAAGCCAACAGUCUGUCCUUUCGCUUUUCUUGAGGAGAAAUGUGCAGUGGAAAUGAUCAAAACAAGAUACUGUGGAAGAACGACGUGAGCGUGAAUUAUUCACCGUAUGUUUCGUCCGUGGACAUCUCUCUUGAAUUCAUUCCCCUGGCCUUCUCCUCUCCUCGCCUUCCUAUUAGGAGGAGCCCAUCAUUUUUCAUGUUACUAGCAUGAUUAAUAUAGUAGGUGGCCCAGGGCCGUUCCUGAGAUUCUUUUGC
rnacentral:lncRNA from 1 species